rnacentral:rRNA from 1 species
UACGGAGGGGGCGAGCGUUAUUCGGAAUUAUUGGGCGUAAAGGGCGCGUAGGCGGCGCGGGCAGUCAACGGUGAAAGCUUGGGGCUCAACCCCGAGUCGGCCGUCGAUACUCCCGGGCUGGAGCACUGUAGAGGCAGGUGGAAUUCCGGGUGUAGCGGUGGAAUGCGUAGAGAUCCGGAAGAACACCGGUGGCGAAGGCGGCUCACUGGCCCGAUACUGACGCUGAGGCACGAAAGCGUGGGGAGCAAACAGG